rnacentral:rRNA from 1 species
UACAGAGGGUGCGAGCGUUAAUCGGAAUUACUGGGCGUAAAGGGCGCGUAGGCGGUUCGCUAAGUUGGAUGUGAAAACUCUGGGCUCAACCCAGAGCCUGCAUCCAAAACUGGCGGGCUAGAGUUCUGGAGGGGGUAGCGGAAUUCCUGGUGUAGCGGUGAAAUGCGUAGAUAUCAGGAGGAACACCGGUGGCGAAGGCGGCUACCUGGACAGAAACUGACGCUGAGGCGCGAAAGCUAGGGGAGCAAACAGG